GGCUCGGCGGUGAAUGCAUCACGUCUGCUCUUCGUUGAUGAGAGAAGACGUCCGAUUUCACGCAGAAGUUGCCUGUUCGAAUCAGGCCCGAGCCA